GUGCCAGCAGCCGCGGUAAUACGUAGGUGGCAAGCGUUAUCCGGAAUUAUUGGGCGUAAAGCGCGCGCAGGUGGUUUCUUAAGUCUGAUGUGAAAGCCCACGGCUCAACCGUGGAGGGUCAUUGGAAACUGGGAGACUUGAGUGCAGAAAGAGGAAAGUGGAAUUCCAUGUGUAGCGGUGAAAUGCGUAGAGAUAUGGAGGAACACCAGUGGCGAAGGCGACUUUCUGGUCUGUAACUGACACUGAGGCGCGAAAGCGUGGGGAGCAAACAGGAUUAGAUACCCUGGUAGUCC
rnacentral:rRNA from 1 species